AUGUGUCCAAUGGAGUUAAAUGGUCCUCCAUUUGGUCAACCAACAACUCCAGCACCUGUUGUGCAAUCUCAUGUGCAAGUGCUCACACAAGAUGAGUUCGAUGACAUAGACAAGCUCACACUUUUGAGUCUUGAGUUCACUUGGAGUGCCGAGGAUGAUCCUAUUAGGAAGGUGAUACUUGAGGAAAUGAAGAAGAUUAAGAAUGGAAAGGAGCUAGUGGAAGAAGUAAGGAAGAUUGAGAAGAACAUCAACGCUGGCAGUACUAUCUCUUCCCUCCUUGAGUUGAGUAUUUCUGGGAUACCCCUUGAUACAUGUGAGGUCCCAACACCUUCACAUUCAGCUGAGCAAGAUAGCGAGAGUCCAGAGGAAGAGAUACUUCAGAUCCAAGAAGAAAUUCUCGAAGCCAAGGCACAAGAUGAUCCAGAACUCGAAUACCCAAAUGAACAAGUUGAAGAUUCAAUGUCUACCACUCCCGAUGAAGUAGAAGAAGCUGUUGUAGUUGAAGAUGAAGAACCAGAAAUUCAAUUGCCUAUCAUCAUACAAGAGUGUGACAUUGCAGGUUUAUCUAAUUCUCUCAAUGGCAUGUCCCCAUAUGAAUUGUUUGCUACUACCUUGCAUUGCAUGAUGCCAUCUGUUAAAGUAGAUAUGAAAAGGUAUUUGCUUGGAUAUGAUCAUAUAUACCCUGUUAGUGGCAUUACUCACAUUAGUGAUGAUCACAGUUACUUUGCUCGUGCUAGACCUAUGCUUUAUGAAACAUAUCAUUCCCAUGCUAGUCUUGAGCUUAAUGAUAAAUAUCAUCCUCAUGUUAGUGUUGACCUUGCUGAUUUCUACCAUCCUAAACAUGUGCUUUAUAGCCAUGCUUAUGUAAUUGGAUACUCGAUUGAUGACUUGGAGGGUAUUAUCCCUGCCGCUUGCAUUGUCUCUUUUGUGGAGUGCUUUUUUAGGUUGUUGCUUCUGCACCGUUCACUUCAUGCUGACCAGGUUCGAGGCGACAUUCCUUGGGACCCAGGUGGAUCCUGA
rnacentral:rRNA from 1 species